rnacentral:rRNA from 1 species
AGAGAAGCUUGCUUCUCUUGAGAGCGGCGGACGGGUGAGUAAUGCCUAGGAAUCUGCCUGGUAGUGGGGGAUAACGUUCGGAAACGGACGCUAAUACCGCAUACGUCCUACGGGAGAAAGCAGGGGACCUUCGGGCCUUGCGCUAUCAGAUGAGCCUAGGUCGGAUUAGCUAGUUGGUGAGGUAAUGGCUCACCAAGGCGACGAUCCGUAACUGGUCUGAGAGGAUGAUCAGUCACACUGGAACUGAGACACGGUCCAGACUCCUACGGGAGGCAGCAGUGGGGAAUAUUGGACAAUGGGCGAAAGCCUGAUCCAGCCAUGCCGCGUGUGUGAAGAAGGUCUUCGGAUUGUAAAGCACUUUAAGUUGGGAGGAAGGGCAUUAACCUAAUACGUUAGUGUUUUGACGUUACCGACAGAAUAAGCACCGGCUAACUCUGUGCCAGCAGCCGCGGUAAUACAGAGGGUGCAAGCGUUAAUCGGAAUUACUGGGCGUAAAGCGCGCGUAGGUGGUUUGUUAAGUUGGAUGUG